rnacentral:rRNA from 1 species
AAUGAACGCUGGCGGCGUGCCUAACACAUGCAAGUCGAGCGGUAGAUACUGGAAUGAGAUUUCGGUCAAGUGAAAGUAUUGAGAGCGGCGGACGGGUGAGUAACGCGUAGGCAACCUGCCCCAUACAGAGGGAUAGCCUCGGGAAACCGGGAUUAAAACCUCAUAACGCCAGAGAUUCACAUGGACCUCUGGCCAAAGAUUUAUCGGUAUGGGAUGGGCCUGCGUCUGAUUAGCUAGUUGGUGGGGUAACGGCCUACCAAGGCAACGAUCAGUAGCCGACCUGAGGGGGUAAUCGGCCACAAUGGAACUGAGACACGGUCCAAAAUCCUACGGGAGGCAGCAGUGGGGAAUAAUGCACAAUGGGCGUAAGCCUGAUGCAGCAACGCCGCGUGAGCGAUGAAGGGCUUUGGGUCGUAAAGCUCUGUCCUUGGGGAAGAAAAAAAUGACGGUACCCUUGGAGGAAGCCCCGGCUAACUACGUGCCAGCCGCCGCGGUAAGAC